CUCCUACAUAGGGUCACAUGGAAGAUAUGGAUUGACACCUGUCCUCAGAGCCCCUGAUACACACUGACACAGAUCAGAAUAGGGAAUGUUACCCCAACAUCGGGUCACUUGGCAGAUAUGGAUUGACACCUGUCCUAAGGAUCCCUGAUACACACUGACACAGAUCAAAAUAGGGAAUGUUACCCCAACAUCGGGUCACUUGGCAGAUAUGGAUUGACACCUGUCCUAAGGAUCCCUGAUACACACUGACACAGAG